rnacentral:rRNA from 1 species
CAGCCGCCGCGGGAAUACAGAGGGUGCGAGCGUUAAUCGGAUUGACUGGGCGUAAAGCGUGCGUAGGCGGCUUCUUAAGUCGGAUGUGAAAUCCCUGAGCUUAACUUAGGAAUUGCAUUCGAUACUGGGAAGCUAGAGUAUGGGAGAGGAUGGUAGAAUUCCAGGUGUAGCGGUGAAAUGCGUAGAGAUCUGGAGGAAUACCGAUGGCGAAGGCAGCCAUCUGGCCUAAUACUGACGCUGAGGUACGAAAGCAUGGGGAGCAAACAGGAUUAGAUACCCGUGUAGUCCCUGUCUCUUAUAC